rnacentral:rRNA from 1 species
AAACUUUCAACAACGGAUCUCUUGGUUCUGGCAUCGAUGAAAAACGCAGCAAAAUGCGAUAAGUAAUGUGAAUUGCAAAAUUCAGUGAAUCAUCGAAUCUUUGAACGCACAUUGCGCCCGCCAGUAUUCUGGCGGGCAUGCCUGUUCGAGCGUCAUUU